rnacentral:rRNA from 1 species
GAUGAACGCUGGCGGCGUGCCUAAUACAUGCAAGUCGAGCGAACAGACGAGGAGCUUGCUCCUCUGACGUUAGCGGCGGACGGGUGAGUAACACGUGGAUAACCUACCUAUCAGACUGGGAUAACUUCGGGAAACCGGAGCUAAUACCGGAUAAUAUAUUGAACUGCAUGGUUCAAUAGUGAAAGACGGUUUUGCUGUCACUUAUAGAUGGAUCCGCGCCGCAUUAGCUAGUUGGUAAGGUAACGGCUUACCAAGGCAACGAUGCGUAGCCGACCUGAGAGGGUGGUCGGCUACACUGGAACUGAGCCACGGUCCAGACUCCUACGGGAGGCAGCGGUAGGGAAUCUUCCGCAAUGGGCGAAAGCUUGACGGAGCAACGCCGCGUGAGUGAUGAAGUUCUUCGGAUCUUAAAACUCUGUUAUUAGGGAAGAACAAAUGUGUAAGUAACUAUGCACGUCUUGACGGUACCUAAUCAGAAAGCCACGGCUAACUACGUG